AUUCCAGCUCCAAUAGCGUAUAUUAAAGUUGUUGCAGUUAAAAAGCUCGUAGUUGGAUUUCUGGCCGAGUGUCCCCAGGCCAGCAUGACGUUUGGUCCUGGGCGCUCUGCCAUCCUUCUGUCAACCUUCGCCUCGUUCAUUCGUGGCGCUGGGGCUCAGAUAUUUUACCUUGAGAAAAUUAGAGUGUUUCAGGCAGGCUUUCGCCGGAAUACAUUAGCAUGGAAUAAUGGAAAAGGACUUCAACCUCUUCUGUUGGUCUGAGAGGCUGUAGUAAUGAUUAAUAGGGAUAGUUGGGGGCAUUAGUACUUAACUGUCAGAGGUGAAAUUCUCCGAUUUGUUAAAGACUAACUUAUGCGAAAGCAUUUGCCAAGGAUGUUUUCAUCA
rnacentral:rRNA from 1 species